AUUAUGUUUUUUUUUUGGGGGGGGGGGGAGUGAUUCUUGUUUUGCAGAGACAAGGUGUUCGAGCUACACAAAUUUUACUCGGAUUUGCGGAAGAACGUAUAGAAUUUGGAGAAAAAUAGUGUGGCCAGUCUUAGGACUUUGGUUAAUCUUGGCUCUGAAGUUCAUGUAAGAGUAUAACUUGAACUCAUUAAAUCAUUUAAUGUUCUUGUUUUACGACUACGGCUGAAGAAGAUGUGGCAUAUGGACCUGAAAGUUGUAGACUAUGUAGUCCUUUGAUCUUGAAAAAUUAUAGUUGUACACCCAUGGAUAUAUUUCGUAUGGAUCAAUUCUACUUUCAUUGACACGGUUAAA